rnacentral:rRNA from 1 species
UACGAAGGGGGCGAGCGUUGUUCGGAAUUACUGGGCGUAAAGGGCGCGUAGGCGGCGAACCAAGUCAGAUGUGAAAGUCCUGGGCUUAACCUGGGGACUGCAUUUGAUACUGGUUUGCUUGAAUUCGGGAGAGGAUAGCGGAAUCCCCAGUGUAGAGGUGAAAUUCGUAGAUAUUGGGAAGAACACCGGUGGCGAAGGCGGCUAUCUGGACCGACAUUGACGCUGAGGCGCGAAAGCGUGGGGAGCAAACAGG